rnacentral:rRNA from 1 species
UACGUAGGGUGCAAGCGUUGCCCGGAUUUAUUGGGCGUAAAGGGCGCGCAGGCGGCUACGCACGUCCGUUGUGAAAUCGCUCGGCUCAACUGGGCGGGGUCAGCGGAUACGGCGUAGCUGGAGCAAGCUAGGGGGCAAUGGAAUUCCCGGUGUAGUGGUGGAAUGCGUAGAUAUCGGGAGGAACACCAGUGGCGAAGGCGGUUGCCUGGAGCUUUGCUGACGCUGAGGCGCGAAAGCUAGGGGAGCAAACAGGG